rnacentral:tRNA from 1 species
GAGACGUUAGUAAAAUAUUACAUAACUUUGUCAAGGUUAAAUUACAGGUGAAAACCCCGUACAUCUCA